rnacentral:rRNA from 1 species
AUUGAACGCUGGCGGCAUGCUUUACACAUGCAAGUCGAACGGUAACAGGCCUUCGGGUGCUGACGAGUGGCGCACGGGUGUGUAAUGCAUCUGAACGUGCCCAGCGGUGGGGGAUAACGCAGCGAAAGCUGUGCUAAUACCGCAUGUGAUCUGAGGAUGAAAGCGGGGGACCAAGCAGCAAUGUUUGGCCUCGCGCCUCUGGCGCGGCCGAUGUCGGAUUAGGUAGUUGGUGGGGUAAAGGCCUACCAAGCCGACGAUCUGUAGCUGGUCUGAGAGGACGACCAGCCACACUGGGACGGAGACACGGCCCAGACUCCUACGGGAGGCAGCAGUGGGGAAUUUUGGACAAUGGGCGCAAGCAUGAUCCAGCAAUGCCGCGUGCGGGAAGAAGGCCUUCGGGUUGUAAACCGCUUUUGUACGGAACGAAAAGGCUCUGGCUAAUACCUGGGGCUGAUGACGGUACCGUAAGAAUAAGCACCGGCUAACUACGUG